CGUCAUCUGAGGGGCGACAAAGGAAGAAAAGGAGGAAUUCAUCCAAAGCAGCUUUAACACUGAGCAUGAAGCUUGUUCUUAGUACUGGAAUGUAAAGGUAAUUAAGGUAGCUGCUGCUGCUGACAGUUGAUGAGGAAGCAGAGAGCAUCAGCAGGAAUUCAGCUUGUUGCAGUGUCAUAUUCAAACCACAGGGGGCAGCGCUGGACAAGAAAAUGGACAGCUGUUUAGAGUGGCAGUACCUUGUCUUUCCACUAAAGGAGCUGCACACACUGUCUGGGUAUAUACUGUAUUAUAUUGCAUUGUCUACCCAUGUUUCAAAGACAGAUAAUACUGGAGAUCAGAUUAAGAGGAAUAUUUUUAUUUCAGAAAAGAAACACAAAUGCACCAAAAUCCAGCUGAAAUACAUUUUUGGACAAUGCUUUAUCUGAGGCCUUGUCUUUGUGUUGGCCUACAGUAAAUAACCUUGAUAUGAAUGAACUGAUAUGAAUGAUACGUUUAGCAGGUUAUAGGAGAGGUGAUUUGAUAUUACAGCAUCUGGAGGCCAUGCAAAAUGUCUUUUGUCCAACAUAACCUGUCUGAUAAUAAAAAAUGUUUGUACCACUUUC